AGCAGCCGCGGUAAUUCCAGCUCCAAUAGCGUAUAUUAAAGUUGUUGCAGUUAAAAAGCUCGUAGUUGAACUUCGGGGUCUACCCAUUGGUCAGGCUUAAUUGUCUGCACUGGUGAGAUGGAUCUCUACCUUCUGAGGAACUUUCAUGCCAUUUAUUUGGUGUGAUAGGAAAUCAGGACUGUUACUUUGAAAAAUUGAGUGUUUAAAGCAGACUAUCGUCUGAAUACAUUAGCAUGGAAUAAUGAAAUAGGACGGACUGAUUCUAUUUCGUUGGUUUCUAGGAUCACCGUAAUGAUUAAUAGGGAUAGUUGGGGGCAUUAGUAUUCAAUUGUCAGAGGUGAAAUUCUUGGAUUUAUUGAAGACUAACUACUGCGAAAGCAUUUGCCAAGGAUGUUUUCAUUAAUCAAGAACGAAAGUUAGGGGAUCGAAGACGAUCAGAUACCGUCGUAGUCUUAACCAUAGACUAUGCCGACUAGGGA
rnacentral:rRNA from 1 species